CGAACGCUGGCGGCGUGCUUCACACAUGCAAGUCGAGCGGAAAGGCCUGCUUUCCCUUGUGGAUUGCGGGUACUCGAGUGGCGAACGGGUGAGUAACACGUGAGUGAUCUGCCCCCAACUUGGGUAUAAGCCUGGGAAACUGGGUCUAAUUCCCGAUAGGACUGCAGGGUGGUGCCUGUGGUGGAAAACGAUUUUCUAGUGGUUGGGGAUGAGCUCGCGGCCUAUCAGCUUGUUGGUGGGGUAAUGGCCUACCAAGGCGGCGACGGGUAGCCGGCCUGAGAGGGUGGACGGCCACAGUGGGACUGAGAUACGGCCCAGACUCCUACGGGAGGCAGCAGUGGGGAAUAUUGCACAAUGGGCGGAAGCCUGAUGCAGCGACGCCGCGUGGGGGAUGACGGCCUUCGGGUUGUAAACUCCUUUCGACCGCGAGGAAGCCACCUGGUUGGAAGGGUGGUGACGGUAGUGGUAGAAGAAGCACCGGCUAACUACGUG
rnacentral:rRNA from 1 species